rnacentral:rRNA from 1 species
AGAGUUUGAUCAUGGCUCAGAACGAACGCUGGCGGCGUGCUUAACACAUGCAAGUCGAGUGCGCGUUCCGUAGCAAUACGGAAUGGCGCACGGCGCACGGGUGCGUAACACGUGGGUAACCUGCCCUUUGGUGGGGAAUAACUCCGCGAAAGCGGAGCUAAUUCCGCAUAAGAUCCGCAAGGAUGAAAGCCGAGAGGCGCCGAUGGAGGGGCCCGCGCACGAUUAGCUAGUUGGUAGGGUAACGGCCUACCAAGGCUUUGAUCGUUAGCUGGUCUGAGAGGAUGGCCAGCCACACUGGAACUGAGACACGGUCCAGACUCCUACGGGAGGCAGCAGUGGGGAAUCUUGCACAAUGGGCGAAAGCCUGAUGCAGCGACGCCGCGUGGGGGAUGAAGCAUUUCGGUGUGUAAACCCCUUUCGAUCCGGACGAAUGCCCGCAAGGGAUUGACGGUACGGAUAUAAGAAGCCCCGGCUAACUACGUGCCAGCAGCCGCGGUAAGACGUAGGGGGCCAGCGUUGUUCGGAAUUACUGGGUGUAAAGGGUUCGUAGGCGGUGCGGCAAGUUGGGAGUGAAAUCUCUGGGCUUAACCCAGAGGCUGCUUCCAAAACUGCUGUGCUUGAGUGUGGGAGAGGCGCGUGGAAUUGCAGGUGUAGCGGUGAAAUGCGUAGAUAUCAGGAGGAACACCGGUGGCGAAGGCGGCUUUCUGGACAGUAACUGACGCUGAGGCGCGAAAGCUAGGGGAGCAAACAGGAUUAGAUACCCUAGUAGUCC